AAUGCUUAGUUCAAUUUGAAUUUCAGAUGAACAAUGAAUGAGUUUUAAAAAUAAGUAUGUCUCAUGCAAUAUUUGGGACACAGUUAUACUAGAAAUUUAUUUGUUGUUUACCUGAAGUUCAAAUUUAACUGGGUGU
rnacentral:miRNA from 1 species